AGGGUUUGAUCCUGGCUCAGAGUGAACGCUGGCGGCGUGGAUUAGGCAUGCAAGUCGAGCGAUCUUAAUAAAUGAACUACUUGAAAUUUUGGAAGUUCCGCCUUGUGUGGAAUGGAAAAGAUGGAUUGUAGCUAGUUUUUUAAGAUAGCGGCAAAAGGGUGAGUAACGCGUGGGUAAUUUGCCCUGAGAUGAGGGAUAGCUUCGUGAAAGCGGAGGUAAUACCUCGUAAGCCCUGUAUCAUCUAGAUACCGGGGAAAGGUGGCGAAUAUUUACUUCGGUAGAUAUGCUAUCGUCUUAGGAGGAGCCCGCGUCCUAUCAGCUUGUUGGUGGGGUAAUGGCCUACCAAGGCGAUGACGGGUAGCUGGCAUUAGCGUGUGGUCAGCCACACCGGGACUGAGACACUGCCCGGACUCCUACGGGAGGCUGCAGUCGAGAAUCUUUCCCAAUGCCCGAAAGGGUGAGGAUGCGACGCCGCGUGGAGGGUGAAGGUUUUCGGAUUGUAAACUCCUUUUGUUAAGGAAGAAAUCCCUGUGAUGAAUAGUCAUAGGCGCUGACGUUACUUAACGAAUAAGCCACGGCUAAAUCCGUGCCAGCAGCCGCGGUAAUACGGAUGUGGCGAGCGUUACUCGGUAUUACUGGGUGUAAAGGGUCCGCAGGCGGCCAAUUAAGUAAGAGGUGAAAUCUUUCGGCUUAACUGAAAAACUGCCUCUUAUACUGUUUGGCUAGAGGGUAAGAGAGGAAAGCGGAACUGCCGGUGUAAGGGUGAAAUCUGUGGAUAUCGGCAGGAACGCCAGUGACGAAGGUGGCUUUCUGGUUUAUACCUGACGCUCAGGGACGAAAGCUAGGGGAGAGAACAGGAUUAGAUACCCUGGUAUUCCUAGCCGUAAACGAUGGGUACUAGGUGUUUCGACCUUAGGUCGGAGCGCCGUAGCUAACGCGUUAAGUACCCCACCUGGGGACUACGGCCGCAAGGCUAAAACUCAAAGGAAUUGACGGGGGCCCGCACAAGCGGUGGAACAUGUGGUUUAAUUCGAUGCUACGCGAGGAACCUUACCAGGGUUUGACAUGCUAGAAGUACUCCGGUGGAAACACUGGGAGACCGUAUCCAAUCGGCGUCUAGUGCAGGUGCUGCAUGGUUGUCGUCAGCUCGUGCCGUGAGGUGUCGCCUUAAGUGGUUUAACGAGCGCAACCCUCGCCUUUAGUUGCCACCCUAAUC
rnacentral:rRNA from 1 species